rnacentral:misc_RNA from 1 species
AAAAGGGAUACAGGUGGAGAGUCGAGUGAGUCAUUAUCAGGAUGCAACCUGGAAACUGGAAGUGACAAGAUUGUAAACACAGACAAUAUUUGUCGAGAUACAGGAAGUGUAAACACACCUGAUUUACCAACAUGCUCUGGUGGUAGAGGCUCUGAAUUUAUUGGAAGAAAUGAAGAAAAUUUUCAAAGUCAGGCAUCUUGUGAGAAGAGCAUGGGAACGGGGUCUUCUCAAACUGUUCCACUUGGACUUGGACUGGGGGGUUUGGAACGACCGAGGCGAGGCAGGCAGCAAAGUUCACAGGCUAAGGGGGGUAGCAGUGGAACCAGCCACAGCCAGGGUCCUACAGGCCAGCAGUUUUUACAAUCUCUUGCCUCCAGUGCUUCUAUGAAUAGGUCAACUGCUCAUGAACCCUCCUCAGGCCUACAUUCAACUGCCAGCUCAACUGUGGAGGGAAGAUCCUUGCAUGGGUCAGGUUCUGACAGUCA